GACGAACGCUGGCGGCGUGCUUAACACAUGCAAGUCGAACGGAAAGGCCCUGCUUUUGUGGGGUGCUCGAGUGGCGAACGGGUGCGUAACACGUGAGUAACCUGCCCUUGCCUUUGGGAUAACUUCAGGAAACUGGGGCUAAUACCGGAUAGGAGCCCCCGCUGCACGGUGGGGGUUGGAAAGUUUCGGCGGUUGGGGAUGGACUCGCGGCUUAUCAGCUUGUUGGUGGGGUAGUGGCUUACCAAGGCUUCGACGGGUAGCCGGCCUGAGAGGGUGACCGGCCACAUGGGGACAGAGAUACUGCCCAGACUCCAACGGGAGGCAGCAGUGGGAAAUAUUGCACAAUGGGCGGAAGCCUGAUGCAGCAACGCCGCGUGCGGGAUGACGGCCUUCGGGUUGUAAACCGCUUUCGCCUGUGACGAAGCGUGAGUGACGGUAAUGGGUAAAGAAGCACGGGCUAACUACGUG
rnacentral:rRNA from 1 species